GCGUAGGCGGAAUAGCAAGUCAAUGGUGAAAGCCUGUAGCUUAACUAUAGGAUUGCCAUUGAUACUGUUAUUCUUGAGUGCAGUCGAGGUAAGCGGAAUGCGUGGUGUAGCGGUGAAAUGCAUAGAUAUCACGCAGAACACCAAUUGCGAAAGCAGCUUGCUAGGCUGUCACUGACGCUGAGGCACGAAAGCGUGGGGAGCGAACAGGAUUAGAUACCCUGGUAGUCCACGCUGUAAACGAUGAUCACUCGUUGUUGGCAAUAUAUCGUCAGCAACUUAGCGAAAGCGAUAAGUGAUCCACCUGGGAAGUACGUCCGCAAGGAUGAAACUCAAAGGAAUUGACGGGGGCUCGCACAACCGGUGGAACACGUGGUUUAAUUCGAUGAUACGCGAGGAACCUUACCUGGGCUUAAAUGCUUAGCGAUUCUCCGAGAAAUCGGAGUUCCCUUCGGGGCGCUUUGCAAGGUGCUGCACGGCUGUCGUCAGCUCGUGCCGUGAGGUGUCGGGUUAAGUCCCUAACGAGCGCAACCCCUAUUGUUAGUUGCCAGCGGGUAAUGCCGGGGACUCUAGCAAAACUGCCAGUGUAGGCUGGAGGAAGGUGGGGACGACGUCAAGUCAGCAUGGCCCUUAUGCCCAGGGCUACACACGUGUUACAAUGGUCGGAACAAAGGGCAGCUACCACGCGAGUGGAUGCUAAUCUCCAAAUCCGGCCUUAGUUCGGAUCGAAGUCUGCAAUUCGACUUCGUGAAGG
rnacentral:rRNA from 1 species